rnacentral:rRNA from 1 species
GAGUUUGAUCGUGGCUCAGGACGAACGCUGGCGGCGUGCCUAAUACAUGCAAGUCGAGCGGAUCUUCAUUAGCUUGCUUUUGAAGAUCAGCGGCGGACGGGUGAGUAACACGUGGGCAACCUGCCUGUAAGACUGGGAUAACUUCGGGAAACCGGAGCUAAUACCGGAUAAUCCUUUUCCUCUCAUGAGGAAAAGCUGAAAGACGGUUUCGGCUGUCACUUACAGAUGGGCCCGCGGCGCAUUAGCUAGUUGGUGAGGUAACGGCUCACCAAGGCGACGAUGCGUAGCCGACCUGAGAGGGUGAUCGGCCACACUGGGACUGAGACACGGCCCAGACUCCUACGGGAGGCAGCAGUAGGGAAUCUUCCGCAAUGGACGAAAGUCUGACGGAGCAACGCCGCGUGAGCGAUGAAGGCCUCGGUCGUAAGACGUCUGUUGUCAGGGAAGAACAAGUAUCGGAGUAACGUGCCGGUACC